rnacentral:rRNA from 1 species
AAGGGCACCACAAGAACGCGUGGAGCAUGUGGCUUAAUUUGACUCAACGCGGGAAAUCUUACCGGGUCCGGACACACUGAGGAUUGACAGGCGCAGAGUAUUUUACUUGUAUUAUACUCAUAAAUUAUGCUAGUCCUUUCAUGAUUGUGUGAUAGGUGGUGCAUGGCCGUUCUUAGUUCGUGGAGUGAUCUGUCUGCUUAAUUGCGUUACUCAAAGGGCAAUGUUUAUUUUGUGUGUUACGUGACAAUGUUUGUUAGGCUCGUUCGCGAGACUCGCUUUGUUACGUGCUGCAAAUACGUAUGCCCUUCCUGCAACGAACGUGACCGCAGCCCCUUGUUGCUUCUUUGCUUUAAUGCAUGGGUUGCCGCCUGCUUCGGUCUUGGAGGCCCCACACAGAAGCUAACUAGGGGGACCGCUGACUUUUUCCAAAACAGAGGAAGGUUGCGGCAAUAACAGGUCUGUGAUGCCCUCAGAUGUUCCGGGCUGCACACGUGCUACAAUGAUUAUUGCAGUGAGCAUCUAUUUAUAGUCUGUGAACUUACAAGCUUGCUUGUUUGUUCCAGCAAUGCCAACUUCGAAAGUAAGUUGGUAAUCAAUUCGAAGUAAUGAUUUCCUUUCGCACAUGCUUAUGUGUUAUUUGUUAUUUCUCUCUUUUGAGUUAUAACAGUAACACUUGUGCUCCAUUAAUUCAUGGUGGGGACAGACCAUUGUUAAUUGUUGGUCUCGGUCUCAACUAGGAAUGCCUUGUACGGGUCUUUGGUUCAACAGACCACCCGGAAUAUGUCCCUGCCCUUUGUACACACCGCCCGUCGCUCUUACCGAUGGACUUCUCUGUGAGUUUGGGGGACUGGCUCUAUCUUUUCGGAGUGUGAGCUAUGGAAACCCAAACGAACAGUGUGGUCUAAAGGAAAGAGAAGUCGAACAAGGCA